CAAAUAUAUAUAUAUAUACAAUACAUGUACUUAUUAUAAGUGUACCGUAGUGAUUCGGAAUAAGACCAAAACUCGAUUUGGAAGAUGAAUUAAUGAUGUACUCGCUCAUUAUAUACAUUUUGCAAAUUUAGAACACAGAAAAAGUU